CAGCAGGGUUGGCGCCUCCUCUCGCACCUUCUUGGUCCCGUUAUGUCAGUGUGGAAGCGGAACUCCGGAACCUGUUACCAGGUGUGGAAUCUUAAGCUGGUCAAUCUGGAAUUACCUGGUCAGCACUAGUGAGGUAAUCUGCCUGAUAGAGCUCUACUGUCCCCCAAAGGAAGGUACGUGCGGCCCACUGAAGGUGAAGGGUAUGGACAGAGGACAGGGGAGCAGAAGGAAAGCCUCACAUGACCUCUGGG